rnacentral:rRNA from 1 species
UACAGAGGGUGCGAGCGUUAAUCGGAAUUACUGGGCGUAAAGCGUGCGUAGACGGCUAUCUAAGUCGGGUGUGAAAGCCCCGGGCUCAACCUGGGAAUUGCAUUCGAGACUGAAUAGCUAGGGUACGGUAGAGGGAAGUGGAAUUUCCGGUGUAGCGGUGAAAUGCGUAGAUAUCGGAAAGAACACCAACGGCGAAAGCACUCUGCUGGGCCGACACUGACACUGAGAGACGAAAGCUAGGGGAGCGAAUGGG